GACGUAGGGCGCGAGCGUUGUCCGGAUUUAUUGGGCGUAAAGAGCUCGUAGGCGGCUUGUCGCGUCGGCUGUGAAAACCCGCGGCUCAACUGUGGGCGGGCAGCUGAUACGGGCAGGCUGGAGUUCGGUAGGGGAGACUGGAAUUCCUGGUGUAGCGGUGAAAUGCGCAGAUAUCAGGAAGAACACCCGUGGCGAAGGCGGUUCUCUGGGACGGUACUGACGCUGAGACGCGGAAGCGUGGGGAGCGAACAGG
rnacentral:rRNA from 1 species